rnacentral:rRNA from 1 species
AGAGUUUGAUCAUGGCUCAGGACGAACGCUGGCGGCGUGCCUAACACAUGCAAGUCGUACGGGCUUGGGGGGCAACUCUCAAGUCAGUGGCGAACGGGUGCGUAACACGUGAGCAACUUACCCUACGGUGGGGGAUAGCCGGCCCAACGGCCGGGUAAUACCGCAUAUGGCAUCGAGGUCACAUGGCCUUGAUGGGAAAGCGGCCGCAAGGUCGCGCCAGAGGAGGGGCUCGCGGCGUAUCAGCUAGUUGGCGGGGUAACGGCCCACCAAGGCUACGACGCGUAGCUGGUCUGAGAGGAUGGCCAGCCACAUUGGGACUGAGAUACGGCCCAGACUCCUACGGGAGGCAGCAGUGGGGAAUAUUGCGCAAUGGCCGAAAGGCUGACGCAGCGACGCCGCGUGUGGGAUGAAGGCCUUCGGGUUGUAAACCACUGUCGGGGGGGGCGAAUACUCGGCUUCGAAUAGGAGACCGAGGGUGACGGUACCCCCAAAGGAAGCACCGGCUAACUCCGUGCCAGCAGCCGCGGUAAUACGGAGGGUGCGAGCGUUGUCCGGAAUCACUGGGCGUAAAGGGCGCGUAGGCGGCCGUGUAAGUCACUUGUGAAAUCCCGGGGCUCAACUCCGGGGCUGCAGGUGAGACUGCGUGGCUAGAGCACGGUAGAGGCGAGUGGAAUUCCCGGUGUAGCGGUGGAAUGCGUAGAUAUCGGGAAGAACACCGGUGGCGAAGGCGGCUCGCUGGGCCGUUGCUGACGCUGAGGCGCGAAAGCGUGGGGAGCAAACAGGAUUAGAUACCCUGGUAGUCUACGCCGUAAACGAUGGGUACUAGGCGUCGGGGGGAGCGACCCCCUCGGUGCCGUCGCUAACGCAGUAAGUACCCCGCCUGGGGGAGUACGGUCGCAAGACUGAAACUCAAAGGAAUUGAC